AGGUGGAGGAGAAUGCCAACCCAUCUGGAUAUUGACGAGUAGGUGGAGGAGAAUGCCAACCCAUCUGGAUGUUGAGUAGGUGGAGGACAAUGCCAACCCAUCUGGAUGUUGAGUAGGUGGAGGACAAUGCCAACCCAUCUGGAUGUUGACGAGUAGGUGGAGGAGAAUGCCAACCCAUCUGGAUGUUGAGUAGGUGGAGGACAAUGCCAACCCAUCUGGAUGUUGACGAGUAGGUGGAGGAGAAUGCCCACCCAUCUGGAUGUUGACGAGUAGGUGGAGGAGAAUGCCCACCCAUCUGGAUGUUGACGAGUAGGUGGAGGAGAAUGCCCACCCAUCUGGAUGUUGACGAGUAGGUGGAGGAGAAUGCCCACCCAUCUGGAUGUUGACGAGUAGGUGGAGGAGAAUGCCCACCCAUCUGGAUGUUGACGAGUAGGUGGAGGAGAAUGCCCACCCAUCUGGAUGUUGACGAGUAGGUGGAGGAGAAUGCCCACCCAUCUGGAUGUUGACGAGUAAGUGGAGGAGAAUGCCAACCCAUCUGGAUGAGGAGGAGUAGGUGGAGGAGAAUGCCAACCCAUCUGGAUGUUGACGAGUAGGUGGAGGAGAAUGCCAACCCAUCUGGAUGAUGAGGAGUAGGUGGAGGAGAAUGCCAACCCAUCUGGAUGAUGAGGAGUAGGUGGAGGAGAAUGCCAACCCAUCUGGAUGAUGAGGAGAAUACCAACCCAUUUGCAUGAGUGAACUGUUAGUAGUAACCCAUUAGCUGUUGCAAAAGCAGCAGCUACUCUUCCUGGGGUUUAUUAUGGAUCCCCAUUAGUUCCUGCCAAGGCAGCAGCUACUCUUCCUGGGGUUUAUUAUGGAUCCCCAUUAGUUCCUGCCGAGGCAGCAGCUACUCUUCCUGGGGUUUAUUAUGGAUCCCCAUUAGUUCCUGCCAAGGCAGCAGCUACUCUUCCUGGGGUUUAUUAUGGAUCCCCAUUAGUUCCUGCCGAGGCAGCAGCUACUCUUCCUGGGGUUUAUUAUGGAUCCCCAUUAGUUCCUGCCGAGGCAGCAGCUACUCUUCCUGGGGUUUAUUAUGGAUCCCCAUUAGUUCCUGCCGAGGCAGCAGCUACUCUUCCUGGGGUUUAUUAUGGAUCCCCAUUAGUUCCUGCCGAGGCAGCAGCUACUCUUCCUGGGGUUUAUUAUGGAUCCCCAUUAGUUCCUGCCGAGGCAGCAGCUACUCUUCCUGGGGUUUAUUAUGGAUCCCCAUUAGUUCCUGCCAAGGCAGCAGCUACUCUUCCUGGGGUUUAUUAUGGAUCCCCAUUAGUUCCUGCCGAGGC